AGGCGAUGUGUUGCAGAGGGUCCCUGGUUCGAGUCCAGGUUGGGAGGCCAUGUGUUACAGAGGGUCCCUGGUUCGAGUCCAGGUUGGGAGGCCAUGUGUUACAGAGGGUCCCUGGUUCGAGUCCAGGUUGGGAGGCGAUGUGUUACAGAGGGUCCCUGGUUCGAGUCCAGGUUGGGAGGCCAUGUGUUACAGAGGGUCCCUGGUUCGAGUCCAGGUUGGGAGGCCAUGUGUUACAGAGGGUCCCUGGUUCGAGUCCAGGUUGGGAGGCCAUGUGUUAC